rnacentral:rRNA from 1 species
CCAAUAGCGUAUAUUAAAGUUGUUGCAGUUAAAAAGCUCGUAGUUGAAUUUCGGGAUCAGUUCGUCGGUCGUGCCUUUGGUAUGUACUGGUGUUACUGGUUCCUCCCUUCUGACGAACCGUCAUGUCAUUAAUUUGGUGUGGCGGGAAAUCAGGACUGUUACCUUGAAAAAAUUAGAGUGUUUAAAGCAGGCUCGCGCUUGAAUACAUUAGCAUGGAAUAAUGAUAUAGGACGUUCGAUCCUAUUUUGUUGGUUUCUAGGAUUGACGUAAUGAUUAAUAGGGAUAGUUGGGGGCAUUAGUAUUCAAUUGUCAGAGGUGAAAUUCUUGGAUUUAUUGAAGACUAACUACUGCGAAAGCAUUUGCCAAGGAUGUUUUCAUUAAUCAAGAACGAAAGUUAGGGGAUCGAAGACGAUCAGAUACCGUCGUAGUCUUAACCAUAAACUAUGCCGACUAGGGAUCGGAUGAUGUUAAUUUUUUAAUGACUCAUUCGGCGCCUUACG